rnacentral:rRNA from 1 species
UACGAGGGAUCCUAGCGUUGUUCGGAAUCAUUGGGCGUAAAGGGUGUGUAGGCGGCCAUAUAAGUCAGUUGUGAAAGCCCCGGGCUCAACCCGGGAAGUGCUUCUGAUACUGUAUGGCUUGAGUAUUGGAGAGGUGAGUGGAAUUCCAGGUAUAGUGGUGAAAUACGUAGAUAUCUAGAAAAACACCGACGGCGAAGGCGGCUCACUGGCCAUAUACUGACGCUGAAACACGAAAGCGUGGGGAUCAAAC